CUCAGAAACAGACAUUUAUUUAGAAACAAAAAUUAAUCUUCUGCACAUCCGAAGUUCGGGUACCUCCUAUACCAGGAAAUUCUUGCAGACAAAAUUUUUUUCUUGGAAAAAAAAAAUCACAGAAACACAGUGAUACUGAGUAAAAAAAAAAAAAAAACACAUUAAAAGAACACUAACAUUUCUAAAACAAGAGCUCACGCUGAAGUUAAGAAAUGGCCAUAAUUAAACUUGUCCAGGAAGAUAGAUUAAGGUCAAACAUGUCUAUUAAUUUUGGGUACCCACUUUAAACCACCUUAGACCCAAUGUUUUAUAUUUUAUUUUUUCAUCAGCACAUCAUCUCAUAACGUUUUCAGCAGCUCCCUCUGCAGCGGUGACUUCUGCCCAGCACAGCCCAGGAUGCGCAGCACCAGGGGGAUGGGCGAGCCAAGGGUUGCCAGCUCUAUGUAAGCAGUCUCUUGCACAGGCAGAAAAAAAAAAUUCUAAUUUUUAAAGAGGCAUUCAAUUUAUCUACCCAGAGCCUGCACUCCUUUUCCUGUGCACUACGUUAAUUUCAGCUUCCACUGCUCAGCUACAGCCAGAGGCCUCCACAGCAGCAAACUCCCUGACCAAAGGCUGUCAACCCCGUAACUUCUUCACUACCAGGGACAACUCUCUGUGCCCCCACCCACCCCAUGUCCCGGGAGGCUCUGAGCAGAACCAGGCUGGCUCCCCACCUGGAAGCCAGGAGCCCAGCUGAGGCCUACCACAGCACCGAGACCCACCUGCACCUGCGGCACAGCACGGCUGCACUGAGGAGGCAGUGGCCUGCCCUUACAUCUCUGCUCCUGCUGCUUGUCGUCAGGGUGCACCACAACGCAGGGUGCCACAGUGGCCUCCUUCAGCCGUGCUGCUGCUUCCUCAUCCAAGAGCGACGUUACGAUGCUAAAUGAGGUACGCGAUCAGAGCGCCUUGCCAAACAAAGGGAGAAGUCAAACGCAGACACUUGUGAUUUCCGUGCUGGAUCAAGCAGAGGGAAAGGAGCUGCAGAGAAAAAAGCCGACGCUUCAAACACAUGUUUCUGUAAUCAACAGUUCCUGCAAGCAAGGUUCAGAAAAUUACAGGAAAGAUGAUCUUCUUUCUGGA
rnacentral:lncRNA from 1 species